rnacentral:rRNA from 1 species
UACGUAGGGUGCGAGCGUUGUCCGGAAUUAUUGGGCGUAAAGGGCUCGUAGGCGGUUUGUCGCGUCGGGAGUGAAAUCCACUGGCUUAACUGGUGGCUUGCAUUCGAUACGGGCAGGCUCGAGUUCGGUAGGGGAGACUGGAAUUCCUGGUGUAGCGGUGAAAUGCGCAGAUAUCAGGAGGAACACCGGUGGCGAAGGCGGGUCUCUGGGCCGAUACUGACGCUGAGGAGCGAAAGCGUGGGGGAGCGAACAGG